UUACUUACCUGGAUGGGGUCGAUGGGUGAUCAAGAAGGCCCAUGGCCUAGACAAGUGACCUCCAUUGCACUUAGGAGGGGUGCUAGUCUAAGGUCUACCCAAGUGGUGGAACCUACAUCAUAAUUUGUUGCAGUGGGGGCCUGCGUUCGCGCGGCCCCUUCUAUUUCUAGUUUAAAUUUUGUUUGAUUGAAUUUGUCUUAAUUUUUAAACAUCAUCAAUUUCUCAUUCUUAUAUGGGCAUCUCAUUUUCUUCAAGUGAAUAGGCUUUUUCAUCCUUAAAUUUGUACGCACUGGACAAAUUUAUCCCCUAGUUUUUCGAAAUACUCCCUCCGUCCUAAUUUAUAAGCAAAAAACACUAAUUCACACUUAUUAAGAAAACUAACACUUAGUGAUUUGAGAUAUAAU
rnacentral:lncRNA from 1 species